rnacentral:lncRNA from 1 species
UCUUUCUCUUCUUUACUUACUUCAACACAGGUAAAUCCCCUUUCUCUAUUUCUGAGAUUUUUGGGUUUUCUUUCAUCUUUUCCUGGUAUUUGUGUGAAUUAUAUCUAAUAUACUCUAUUUCCAUUCUUGAUUUUAGGUUAAUUGUUGCAAUCAAAUUUGCUUCUUUUGGCUAUUCUUAAGAUUAUUUAUGUGAUUCUUUAAUCUUUGACGGAAUAUUAAUAAGUUGCGUUCUUACACUUUGAGGACUUUAGUUUCAAUUAUUGACUUUUCUGAAAAUGUCCUGCGGUCUAACGGACUUAAGUGUCAGAGCCUUCCACUCCUCCAUUUGUUCUACCAAAAGCAAAGACGAAAAAGGAAUAGAGGAAAAGGAAAAUUUGGACGGAUCUGUUGCCGGAGAUGUAAACAAAAUGUCGGAAUGUUUGAUAAUUGUCCAUAAACGAAAUGUCCGGAGAAAGGAAAAGUUGUACCAAAAAUCUCAAAAAGUCCGGUAUUUGUAGAAGAAUUUCCUUUCAAAACUUUAUGACCUUUGAAAUCUAUUUAGUUCUAUUCCAUAUGGAAAAUUUUCAUAGCCCAAAAUUGAAAAAAUUAAUUUUUCUUAGAACUACUUUUUCUGAUUAGUCUUUGUCACUUCUGCUGCAGCAUGAAGAUCGAAAAUGCCGGUUGUUCAAACUUCACCCGCAUUAUGGUAAGUGUCACGGGGUGAUUUUAGUCAGUCAAAACUCACACCCGCGCGGCAAUCAAGUCGUACACUUGACUCAGCCUUUCCCAAACACUUAGCCAAUUUUCGCGCACCUUUGGCCUAAACGAGAUUUAGACAGCAAUUCCAAAUAAGAACACACACAUAUACGGGAAAAUCCCAACCUUUGCAUUGAUGUGGAAAAUAUACAAAGGACCCUCACUUUGCUAUGAACAUAGUCCGCUCACAGCCCACUUUUUUGACAUAGAACACAAGUCGUUCUUGUCAACACUAAGAUCUGCCCAUGCCAAACCUUAGCCCCUUUUUGAAACAACUGAAACCCUCACGUUUCACUCUUGUUUCCCACUUAGAAUUUCUCACGAAAUUCCCCACAUUCACUCCUUACUU